rnacentral:rRNA from 1 species
AGUAACACGUGAACAACCUACCCUCGAGUGGGGAAUAACACCGCGAAAGCGGUGCUAAAACCGCAUAAUAUCUCUGAAUCGCAUGGUUUUGAGAUCAAAAGCUUCGGUUGCUUGAGGAGGGGUUCGCGCCUGAUUAGCUUGUUGGUGAGGUAACGGCUCACCAAGGCUGCAAUCAGUAGCCGGCCUGAGAGGGUGAACGGCCACACUGGAACUGAGACACGGUCCAG